AGGGUUCCAAUAACAUCUUUGAAA
rnacentral:siRNA from 1 species